CGGGGUGCACCAGGCGCGAAAACUUUGCAAUGCGGGAAACCGUGACAAGGGAACUCUGAGUGCCCGUUAAAUCGGGCUGUCCAUCGGUUUAAAUAACCGGUGAAGAAAGGGCCGGGCAAGACCGGUGCCAGCCGCCGCGGUAAUACCGGCGGCUCGAGUGGUGGCCACUAUUACUGGGCUUAAAGCGUUCGUAGCUGGUUUGUUAAGUCUCUGGGGAAAUCUUCCGGCUUAACCGGAAGGCGUCUCAGGGAUACUGGCAGACUAGGGACCGGGAGAGGUGAGAGGUACUCCAGGGGUAGGAGUGAAAUCCUGUAAUCCUUGGGGGACCACCUGUGGCGAAGGCGUCUCACCAGAACGGCUCCGACAGUGAGGGACGAAAGCUGGGGGAGCAAACCGGAUUAGAUACCCGGGUAGUCCCAGCUGUAAACGAUGCGCGUUAGGUGUAUCGGUGACCACGAGUCACCGAGGUGCCGAAGAGAAAUCGUGAAACGUGCCGCCUGGGAAGUACGGUCGCAAGGCUGAAACUUAAAGGAAUUGGCGGGG
rnacentral:rRNA from 1 species